rnacentral:rRNA from 1 species
UACCAGCUCUCCGAGUGGUAGGGAUGAUUAUUGGGCUUAAAGCGUCCGUAGCCGGCUUAGCAAGUCUCCUGUUAAACUCAGCGACCUAAUCGUUGAAUCGCGGGAGAUACUACUAGGCUAGGAGGCGGGAGAGGUCGACGGUACUUCUGGGGUAGGAGUGAAAUCCUAUAAUCCCGGGAGGACCACCAGUGGCGAAGGCUGUCGACUAGAACGCGCUCGACGGUGAGGGACGAAAGCUGGGGUAGCGAACCUGAUUAGAUACCCGGGUAGUCCCAGCUGUAAACGAUGCGGGCUAGGUGUUGGGAUGGCUACGGGCCAUUUCAGUGCCGCAGGGAAGCCAUUAAGCCCGCCGCCUGGGGAGUACGGCCGCAAGGCUGAAACUUAAGGAAUUGGCGGGGAGCACCACAAGGCGUGAAGCUUGCGGUUC